rnacentral:rRNA from 1 species
AACGAACGCUGGCGGCAUGCCUAACACAUGCAAGUCGAACGAAGGCUUCGGCCUUAGUGGCGCACGGGUGCGUAACGCGUGGGAAUCUGCCCCUCGGUUCGGAAUAACAGUUAGAAAUGACUGCUAAUACCGGAUGAUGACUUCGGUCCAAAGAUUUAUCGCCGAGGGAUGAGCCCGCGUAGGAUUAGGUAGUUGGUGGGUAAAGGCCUACCAAGCCGACGAUCCUUAGCUGGUCUGAGAGGAUGAUCAGCCACACUGGGACUGAGACACGGCCCAGACUCCUACGGGAGGCAGCAGUGGGGAAUAUUGGACAAUGGGCGAAAGCCUGAUCCAGCAAUGCCGCGUGAGUGAUGAAGGCCUUAGGGUUGUAAAGCUCUUUUACCCG